UCAGAUCCAUCUGUGCAAGCCCACAAC
rnacentral:piRNA from 2 species